AGAUGACGCGCGCGGGGACCUCGCCGCCUCAGCCCACGUGUCCGCGAGAUUUAAAAGUUGCCAGAGCGCGGGUGGGCCAGUCUGGCGGCCGAACUGGGCGAACAGCGCGCCAGGGACGCAGAAGCUCAGCCAGAGCAUCGCUUGGAGCGCGGGCCGGUGCCGUGCAGGGUCCCGGGAUGCUGCGAGUCGCGAGCCGCCGCCCCGGGCCGCCCCCCGGUCAGGUGGCCGCUGCGUCCCCGCUCCUGCUGCUACUACUGCUGUCUUGUUGCGCGGACAGCUGCGGAGGUGCUCCAAUAUUGCCUCAAGGAUUACAGCUGGAACAAGAAUUACAGUUGCGGAAUGAGCUAGAUGAUGCUUGUUCAUCUUUCCUGUCCAUGGAUCCUCUGCCUCAGGCAUCCAGUGCAUUGGAGGAGCUUUGCUUCAUAAUUAUGGGGACUCUACCAAAGCCCCAGAAAACAGAUGAAAAAGAUAAUACCAAAAGGUUCUUAUUUCAUUAUUCGAAGACACAAAAGUUGGGCAAUUCAAAUGCUGUGUCGUCUGUCCUGCAUCCGCUGCUGCAGCUCGUUCCACAACUGCAUGAGAGAAGAAUGAAGAGGUUCAAAGUGGACGGAGAAUUCCAAGGCCAAAGCAGAGGAUUCUUUUUAUUCAGGCCACGCAAUGGAAGAAGGUCAGAAGGUUACAUUUAAAAUGAGUAACAUGCUUUUAUUUUACCAUCGUGCAUAUAAGGAAAGACCAAUAUAUCAAUGAGAGUCCCUGAAUUUCACUUCUUGUCAACCCACAUGAAGAACAUGAGAAAGAAGGAGCAGAAGAGAACAAAAAGUAUCUUCUUUAAAAAAUGAAUUACCUUGAUGCGAUGCAGACUUGAGACAAGAGAAUGUUGCCAGAGCUGCUCCAGGUCUUUGCUCAAAACCUGCCAACCCCCACGUUCAGCAAGAGUUAACAUAAAUCGUUAAAGGGUCCAGAAAUAAAAAAGGAAGCUACAAACAAACAAACAAAAACCAGAUGGAACCAGCUAGGACCAAGACGGUGACAGAUCUGACCUCCAACAGACCCUGAAUCUCAUUAUAUGCUGAUUUUACUACAUUUGCAUAUUAAAUGACAUACCUACUGGUGGCCAAGACUGGAUAUUAAGGACCAAAAAAGGAUAAAAAGGGGUGGCACUCCAUUCCCUUGGAAAAAACUCUGCCUCUUCCCCAGUAGACUAAUGCGUAUGCCUCCCCAUCAUUAACUUCACUCCUCCCUUUGCCUUUACUCUUUAAAAUUAAAGCCCUCUGGACACGUGGGCAAGAAGUAGAUCUGUGAACUCAGUUACUGCUUCUCCAUUCUUUGGCCACUGAAUAAAGCUUGUGCUGUGUUGAUCUCA